GGUUAAGCGACUAAGCGUACACGGUGGAUGCCCUGGCAGUCAGAGGCGAUGAAGGACGUGCUAAUCUGCGAUAAGCGUCGGUAAGGUGAUAUGAACCGUUAUAACCGGCGAUUUCCGAAUGGGGAAACCCAGUGUGAUUCGUCACACUAUCAUUAACUGAAUCCAUAGGUUAAUGAGGCGAACCGGGGGAACUGAAACAUCUAAGUACCCCGAGGAAAAGAAAUCAACCGAGAUUCCCCCAGUAGCGGCGAGCGAACGGGGAGCAGCCCAGAGCCUGAAUCAGUGUGUGUGUUAGUGGAAGCGUCUGGAAAGGCGCGCGAUACAGGGUGACAGCCCCGUACACAAAAAUGCACAUGCUGUGAGCUCGAUGAGUAGGGCGGGACACGUGGUAUCCUGUCUGAAUAUGGGGGGACCAUCCUCCAAGGCUAAAUACUCCUGACUGACCGAUAGUGAACCAGUACCGUGAGGGAAAGGCGAAAAGAACCCCGGCGAGGGGAGUGAAAAAGAACCUGAAACCGUGUACGUACAAGCAGUGGGAGCCUCUUUAUGGGGUGACUGCGUACCUUUUGUAUAAUGGGUCAGCGACUUAUAUUCUGUAGCAAGGUUAACCGAAUAGGGGAGCCGAAGGGAAACCGAGUCUUAACUGGGCGUUAAGUUGCAGGGUAUAGACCCGAAACCCGGUGAUCUAGCCAUGGGCAGGUUGAAGGUUGGGUAACACUAACUGGAGGACCGAACCGACUAAUGUUGAAAAAUUAGCGGAUGACUUGUGGCUGGGGGUGAAAGGCCAAUCAAACCGGGAGAUAGCUGGUUCUCCCCGAAAGCUAUUUAGGUAGCGCCUCGUGAAUUCAUCUCCGGGGGUAGAGCACUGUUUCGGCAAGGGGGUCAUCCCGACUUACCAACCCGAUGCAAACUGCGAAUACCGGAGAAUGUUAUCACGGGAGACACACGGCGGGUGCUAACGUCCGUCGUGAAGAGGGAAACAACCCAGACCGCCAGCUAAGGUCCCAAAGUCAUGGUUAAGUGGGAAACGAUGUGGGAAGGCCCAGACAGCCAGGAUGUUGGCUUAGAAGCAGCCAUCAUUUAAAGAAAGCGUAAUAGCUCACUGGUCGAGUCGGCCUGCGCGGAAGAUGUAACGGGGCUAAACCAUGCACCGAAGCUGCGGCAGCGACACUAUGUGUUGUUGGGUAGGGGAGCGUUCUGUAAGCCUGCGAAGGUGUACUGUGAGGUAUGCUGGAGGUAUCAGAAGUGCGAAUGCUGACAUAAGUAACGAUAAAGCGGGUGAAAAGCCCGCUCGCCGGAAGACCAAGGGUUCCUGUCCAACGUUAAUCGGGGCAGGGUGAGUCGACCCCUAAGGCGAGGCCGAAAGGCGUAGUCGAUGGGAAACAGGUUAAUAUUCCUGUACUUGGUGUUACUGCGAAGGGGGGACGGAGAAGGCUAUGUUGGCCGGGCGACGGUUGUCCCGGUUUAAGCGUGUAGGCUGGUUUUCCAGGCAAAUCCGGAAAAUCAAGGCUGAGGCGUGAUGACGAGGCACUACGGUGCUGAAGCAACAAAUGCCCUGCUUCCAGGAAAAGCCUCUAAGCAUCAGGUAACAUCAAAUCGUACCCCAAACCGACACAGGUGGUCAGGUAGAGAAUACCAAGGCGCUUGAGAGAACUCGGGUGAAGGAACUAGGCAAAAUGGUGCCGUAACUUCGGGAGAAGGCACGCUGAUAUGUAGGUGAAGCGACUUGCUCGUGGAGCUGAAAUCAGUCGAAGAUACCAGCUGGCUGCAACUGUUUAUUAAAAACACAGCACUGUGCAAACACGAAAGUGGACGUAUACGGUGUGACGCCUGCCCGGUGCCGGAAGGUUAAUUGAUGGGGUUAGCGGUAACGCGAAGCUCUUGAUCGAAGCCCCGGUAAACGGCGGCCGUAACUAUAACGGUCCUAAGGUAGCGAAAUUCCUUGUCGGGUAAGUUCCGACCUGCACGAAUGGCGUAAUGAUGGCCAGGCUGUCUCCACCCGAGACUCAGUGAAAUUGAACUCGCUGUGAAGAUGCAGUGUACCCGCGGCAAGACGGAAAGACCCCGUGAACCUUUACUAUAGCUUGACACUGAACAUUGAGCCUUGAUGUGUAGGAUAGGUGGGAGGCUUUGAAGUGUGGACGCCAGUCUGCAUGGAGCCGACCUUGAAAUACCACCCUUUAAUGUUUGAUGUUCUAACGUUGGCCCCUAAUCGGGGUUGCGGACAGUGUCUGGUGGGUAGUUUGACUGGGGCGGUCUCCUCCUAAAGAGUAACGGAGGAGCACGAAGGUUGGCUAAUCCUGGUCGGACAUCAGGAGGUUAGUGCAAUGGCAUAAGCCAGCUUGACUGCGAGCGUGACGGCGCGAGCAGGUGCGAAAGCAGGUCAUAGUGAUCCGGUGGUUCUGAAUGGAAGGGCCAUCGCUCAACGGAUAAAAGGUACUCCGGGGAUAACAGGCUGAUACCGCCCAAGAGUUCAUAUCGACGGCGGUGUUUGGCACCUCGAUGUCGGCUCAUCACAUCCUGGGGCUGAAGUAGGUCCCAAGGGUAUGGCUGUUCGCCAUUUAAAGUGGUACGCGAGCUGGGUUUAGAACGUCGUGAGACAGUUCGGUCCCUAUCUGCCGUGGGCGCUGGAGAACUGAGGGGGGCUGCUCCUAGUACGAGAGGACCGGAGUGGACGCAUCACUGGUGUUCGGGUUGUCAUGCCAAUGGCACUGCCCGGUAGCUAAAUGCGGAAGAGAUAAGUGCUGAAAGCAUCUAAGCACGAAACUUGCCCCGAGAUGAGUUCUCCCUGACUCCCUGAGAGUCCUGAAGGAACGUUGAAGACGACGACGUUGAUAGGCCGGGUGUGUAAGCGCAGCGAUGCGUUGAGCUAACCGGUACUAAUGAACCGUGAGGCUUAACCUU
rnacentral:rRNA from 1 species